AUUGAACGCUGGCGGCAGGCCUAACACAUGCAAGUCGAACGAGUGGCGGACGGGUGAGUAAUGUCUGGGAAACUGCCCGAUGGAGGGGGAUCACUACUGGAAACGGUAGCUAAUACCGCAUACCAUCGGAUGUGCACAGAUGGGAUAAGCUAGUAGGUGGGGUAACCGCUCACCUAGGCGACGAUCCCUAGUUGGUCUGAGAGGAUGAACAGCCACACUGGAACGUAAACACGGUCCAGACUCCUACGGGAGGCAGCAUGGGGGAAUAUUGCAAAAGGGGCGCAAUCCUGAUGCAGCCAUGCCGCGGGUAUGAAGAAGGCCUUCGGGUUGUAAAGUACUUUCAGCGAGGAGGCGUUACUCGCAGAAGAAGCACCGGCUAACUCCGUGCCAGCAGCCGCGGUAAUUC
rnacentral:rRNA from 1 species